UACGUAGGCAGCAAGCGUUGUUCGGAGUUACUGGGCGUAAAGGGUGUGUAGGCGGUUGUUUAAGUUUGGUGUGAAAUCUCCCGGCUCAACCGGGAGGGUGCGCCGAAUACUGAAUGACUAGAGUGCGGGAGAGGAAAGUGGAAUUCCUGGUGUAGCGGUGAAAUGCGUAGAUAUCAGGAGGAACACCGGUGGUGUAGACGGCUUUCUGGACCGUAACUGACGCUGAGACACGAAGGCGUGGGUAGCAAACAGG
rnacentral:rRNA from 1 species